rnacentral:misc_RNA from 1 species
CAGCCCUCAAGCCUCGCUUGGUGUUGGGGCCCUACGGCUGCCGUAGGCCCUGAAAACUAGUGGCGGGCUCGCUAUAACUCCGAGCGUAGUAGAAUCCUAUCUCGCUAGGGAGGUGUGGCGGGUUCCGGCCGUUAAAAGCCUAAUUUUAUACAA